AGAGUUUGAUCCUGGCUCAGAACGUACGCUGGCGGCACGCCUAACACAUGCAAGUCGAACGAAGUAGCAAUACUUAGUGGCAAACGGGUGAGUAAUAUGUGGGAAUCUACCCUUCGGUCUGGAAUAACAUGAGGAAACAUAUGCUAAUACCGGAUAAGCCUUUACAGGGAAAGCUUUAUGUACCGAUUGAUGAGUCCACACUUGAUUAGUUAGUUGGUGAGGUAAUAGCUCACCAAGACAAUGAUCAAUAGCUGAUUUGAGAGGAUGAUCAGCCACAUUGGGACUGAGACACGGCCCAAACUCCUACGGGAGGCAGCAGUGGGGAAUCUUGCACAAUGGGGGAAACCCUGAUGCAGCGACGCCGCGUGAGUGAAGAAGGCCCUUGGGUUGUAAAGCUCUUUCGUCGGGGAAGAAAAUGACUGUACCCGAAU
rnacentral:rRNA from 1 species